GGUGGCGUGGCGUUGGGGCUGUCUUGCGGGUUGGCCGGAGAGGGAGCACACCGAGUGGGCUUCUAAGAUGGCUGAGGGAUUUGUCUAGGGUUUCCUGGUUAAUCCAUUCUGAUUUUGGUCUGCUCAUGCUCUUGGCUUCCGGACCGUGGUGCUCAAGUAUGCAUAUGAUUGGAUAUGCGCUUUCAGCUUUCGUGUCAUCGAUGGUUUCAGAUUCCUCCAUCCUUACUACACUGCCUAUAGUUUCUUAGGUAAAUCUGCUCAUCCUUUUGUAUCUAUUGCUUAUGUAUGUGUACAAAUACAUUUAGCUCUGACUUUCUGGGUCAUGGAUCAGGUUGGUAGCCUUGCAUGAAAAGGAAUACUCUGGACUAGAAUUUCUACCUAAUCAUAUGCCUCUGUGUGUU